rnacentral:lncRNA from 1 species
ACCUAAUGUCAUGAUCUUCUCUUCUGAGUGUUCAACAACUAAAGUUUGGAGACCAAACUGAAAAGAUAACUGGCUAUGAGGACAGCCAAUAUUUUGGCUCUGGGCGUUCAAGGUCAACAAAGAUCCAAGACAUAAGGGAACCUUCUCUACAGGAUCCUACAUCUUUGUGCCUGAUACAACAUCCUCAGCUCCUCCUUGGUAUCUGUGCCAGCCUCACCCCGCCUCACACUGCAUCAUGGAUAAGUCACACUAGCUUAUCACUCCUCCCAAGUCACCGGACCUGCAUUGUUUAUG